rnacentral:rRNA from 1 species
CCUACGGGAGGCAGCAGUGGGGAAUAUUGCACAAUGGGGGAAACCCUGAUGCAGCAACGCCGCGUGAGUGAUGACGGCCUUCGGGUUGUAAAGCUCUGUCUUCAGGGACGAUAAUGCCGGUACCUGAGGAGGAAGCCACGGCUAACUACGUGCCAGCAGCGCAGGUAAUACGGAGGUGGCGAGCGUUGUCCGGAUUUCCUGGGCGUAAAGGGGGCGUAGGCGGACUUUUAAGUGAGAAGUGAAAUAUCCGGGUUCAACGUUGGUGCUGCAUUUCAAACUGGUGGUCUAGAGUGCAGGAGAGGAAAAUGGAAUUCCUAGUGUAGCGGUGAAAUGCGUAGAGAUUAGGAAGAACACCAGUGGCGAAGGCGAUUCUCUGGACUGUAACUGACGCUGAGGCUCGAAAGCGUGGGGAGCAAACAGGAUUAGAUACCCCUGUAGUC